rnacentral:rRNA from 1 species
UACGUAGGGUGCGAGCGUUGUCCGGAAUUAUUGGGCGUAAAGAGCUUGUAGGCGGUUUGUCGCGUCUGCUGUGAAAAUCCGGGGCUCAACUCCGGACUUGCAGUGGGUACGGGCAGGCUAGAGUGUGGUAGGGGAGACUGGAAUUCCUGGUGUAGCGGUGGAAUGCGCAGAUAUCAGGAGGAACACCGAUGGCGAAGGCAGGUCUCUGGGCCACUACUGACGCUGAGGCGCGAAAGCUAGGGGGAGCAAACAGG